rnacentral:rRNA from 1 species
GAUGAACGCUGGCGGCGUGCCUAAUACAUGCAAGCCGAGCGAACAGACGAGGAGCUUGCUCCUCUGACGUUAGCGGCGGACGGGUGAGUAACACGUGGAUAACCUACCUAUAAGACUGGGAUAACUUCGGGAAACCGGAGCUAAUACCGGAUAAUAUAUUGAACCGCAUGGUUCAAUAGUGAAAGACGGUUUUGCUGUCACUUAUAGAUGGAUCCGCGCCGCAUUAGCUAGUUGGUAAGGUAACGGCUUACCAAGGCAACGAUGCGUAGCCGACCUGAGAGGGUGAUCGGCCACACUGGAACUGAGACACGGUCCAGACUCCUACGGGAGGCAGCAGUAGGGAAUCUUCCGCAAUGGGCGAAAGCCUGACGGAGCAACGCCGCGUGAGUGAUGAAGGUCUUCGGAUCGUAAAACUCUGUUAUUAGGGAAGAACAAAUGUGUAAGUAACUAUGCACGUCUUGACGGUACCUAAUCAGAAAGCCACGGCUAACUACGUG